GAUGAACGCUAGCGGCAGGCUUAAUACAUGCAAGUCGUGGGGCAGCAUGAGUAGCAAUACUUGAUGGCGACCGGCAAACGGGUGCGGAACACGUACACAACCUUCCGAUAAGUGGGGAAUAGCCCAGAGAAAUUUGGAUUAAUACCCCGUAACAUAUAGAGUAGGCAUCUUCUUUAUAUUAUAGCUUCGGCGCUUAUUGAUGGGUGUGCGUCUGAUUAGGUAGUUGGCGGGGUAACGGCCCACCAAGCCUACGAUCAGUAGCUGAUGUGAGAGCAUGAUCAGCCACACGGGCACUGAGACACGGGCCCGACUCCUACGGGAGGCAGCAGUAAGGAAUAUUGGACAAUGGGCGAAAGCCUGAUCCAGCCAUGCCGCGUGAAGGAUUAAGGUCCUCUGGAUUGUAAACUUCUUUUAUUUGGGACGAAAAAAGGGAAUUCUUUCCCACUUGACGGUACCAAGUGAAUAAGCACCGGCUAACUCCGUGCCAGCCGCCGCCGUAA
rnacentral:rRNA from 1 species